GCCGAGGUAGCUCAGCUUGGUAGAGCACUUGACUGAAAAUCAAGGUGUCGGCGGUUCAAGUCCGCCCCUCGGCACCA
rnacentral:tRNA from 1 species